GCCCCGGUGGCGGAACCGGUAGACGCUACGGACUUAAAAUCCGUUGCCCGCAAGGGCGUGCCGGUUCGAGUCCGGCCCGGGGCACCA
rnacentral:tRNA from 1 species